AUUCAGAUGACGAGUCCCCAAUAGGACGAAGUGUGCGUUCUGGAU
rnacentral:hammerhead_ribozyme from 1 species